rnacentral:rRNA from 1 species
UUUAAAUUUAGAGUUUGAUCCUGGCUCAGGACGAACGCUGGCGGCGUGCUUAACACAUGCAAGUCGAGCGAUGAAGCUUCCUUCGGGAGGUGGAUUAGCGGCGGACGGGUGAGUAACACGUGGGUAACCUGCCUCAAAGUGGGGGAUAGCCUUCCGAAAGGAAGAUUAAUACCGCAUAAUAUAAGAGAAUCGCAUGAUUUUUUUAUCAAAGAUUUAUUGCUUUGAGAUGGACCCGCGGCGCAUUAGCUAGUUGGUAAGGUAACGGCUUACCAAGGCAACGAUGCGUAGCCGACCUGAGAGGGUGAUCGGCCACAUUGGAACUGAGACACGGUCCAGACUCCUACGGGAGGCAGCAGUGGGGAAUAUUGCGCAAUGGGGGAAAACCCUGACGCAGCAACGCCGCGUGGGUGAUGAAGGUCUUCGGAUUGUAAAGCCCUGUUUUCUAGGACGAUAAUGACGGUACUAGAGGAGGAAGCCACGGCUAACUACGUGCCAGCAGCCGCGGUAAUACGUAGGUGGCGAGCGUUGUCCGGAUUUACUGGGCGUAAAGGGUGCGUAGGCGGAUGUUUAAGUGGGAUGUGAAAUCCCCGGGCUUAACCUGGGGGCUGCAUUCCAAACUGGAUAUCUAGAGUGCAGGAGAGGAAAGCGGAAUUCCUAGUGUAGCGGUGAAAUGCGUAGAGAUUAGGAAGAACACCAGUGGCGAAGGCGGCUUUCUGGACUGUAACUGACGCUGAGGCACGAAAGCGUGGGUAGCAAACAGGAUUAGAUACCCUGGUAGUCCACGCCGUAAACGAUGGAUACUAGGUGUAGGGGGUAUCAACUCCCCCUGUGCCGCAGUUAACACAAUAAGUAUCCCGCCUGGGGAGUACGGUCGCAAGAUUAAAACUCAAAGGAAUUGACGGGGGCCCGCACAAGCAGCGGAGCAUGUGGUUUAAUUCGAAGCAACGCGAAGAACCUUACCUGGACUUGACAUCCCUUGCAUAGCCUAGAGAUAGGUGAAGCCCUUCGGGGCAAGGAGACAGGUGGUGCAUGGUUGUCGUCAGCUCGUGUCGUGAGAUGUUAGGUUAAGUCCUGCAACGAGCGCAACCCUUGUUAUUAGUUGCUACCAUUAAGUUGAGCACUCUAAUGAGACUGCCUGGGUAACCAGGAGGAAGGUGGGGAUGACGUCAAAUCAUCAUGCCCCUUAUGUCCAGGGCUACACACGUGCUACAAUGGUAGGUACAAUAAGACGCAAGACCGUGAGGUGGAGCAAAACUUAUAAAACCUAUCUCAGUUCGGAUUGUAGGCUGCAACUCGCCUACAUGAAGCUGGAGUUGCUAGUAAUCGCGAAUCAGAAUGUCGCGGUGAAUACGUUCCCGGGCCUUGUACACACCGCCCGUCACACCAUGAGAGCUGGUAACACCCGAAGUCCGUGAGGUAACCGUAAGGAACCAGCGGCCGAAGGUGGGAUUAGUGAUUGGGGUGAAGUCGUAACAAGGUAGCCGUAGGAGAACCUGCGGCUGGAUCACCUCCUUUCUA